rnacentral:lncRNA from 1 species
CAUCUCACUCUAUGUAGCUCAUUAGUCACUAAAUUCUGUUUGUACAAUUCCUAAACUUCUAUUAAAUUUGUCUGCUUCCCUCCAGAGUCCUGCUAAUUCCCUGAUUCAGGCCACUGCCAUCUCAUUCCUGCGUUGCACCGAGGACCUCCAGUCUGGAAGCUCAUUUUCCAUAUCUUUACAAAGCAGAUCUAUCACUCUGAACUGUUGUCUCGACCCGAGUUUUGAUAGGUAUUGUGCUGGGAUCUGACCAUUCAAAAUACAAUCACUGGAAUCUGAAGAAGUAUUCUGUGGGAGUGAAUGGAAAUAUAUAUGACUUUUAAAUGGGCAAAGAUAUUAGUGAACUUCUAGGUGCUGAGGAAACAACAAAGAGCAAAGCAAAGUCCCUGUCCCCCAGGAGUUCGCGUUUUAACGGGGAAGAAAAAUAAGCAAGUGAAAUGGACGACUGUGAGAAGACGGAGCAGGGAGAUGUUACUAUUGCUUGUAGGGUGGUCACAGAAUGCCUGCAAAAACAACCCUUUUGAAGAAUUGGGAAAAAAAUAAAAACCAUUUGGCUGAAACAGCCCUGAGAAGGGCAGCUUCUUCCACCACUCUUUCAUCAUUUUACCAUCU